rnacentral:misc_RNA from 1 species
AGUCGUAACAAGGUUUCCGUAGGUGAACCUGCGGAAGGAUCAUUAACAAAUCGGUCUGUGGUUUCACGUUAGACAUGCAUGAGUGAUGUGUACACUUGUAUAUGUGUGAGUGAGUGAUCAUAUCAUGUAUGAUGUGUACACUUGUAUAUGUAUGAGUGAUCAUAUCAUAUCACUCAUAUCAUGUCUAACGUGGGACUGCUGGACAUUGGCGCUUCGCCGCUUGGCGAGUGCAUGAACGCUUUAUUGUCGGUUGAUGGUAGUGUGGGCUAGUAAAUAGUAAAUAACGAUCACUUUUAACAAUGGAUCUCUUGGCUCCU